AUUGAACGCUGGCGGCAGGCCUAACACAUGCAAGUCGAGCGGAUGAAGGGAUCUUGCUCCUGGAUUCAGCGGCGGACGGGUGAGUAAUGCCUAGGAAUCUUCCUGGUAGUGGUGGAUAACGUCCGUAAACGGGCGCUAAUACCGCAGACGUCCUGAGGGGGAAAGUGGGGGAUCUUCGGACCUCACGCUAUCAGAUUAGCCUAGGUCGGAGUAGCUAGUUGGUGGGGUAAAUGCCUACCAAGGCGACGAUCCGUAACUGGGCUGAGAGGAUGAUCCGUCACACUGGAGCUGAGACACGGUCCAGACUCCUAAGAGAGGCAGCAGUGGGGAAUAUUGGACCAUGGGCGAAAGCCUGAUCAAGCGAUGCCGCGUGUGUGAAGAAGGUCUUCGGAUUGUAAAGCACUUUAAGUUGGGAGGAAGGGCAGUAAGUUAAUACCUCGCUGUUGUGACGGUACCAACAGAAUAAGCACCGGCUAACUUCGUG
rnacentral:rRNA from 1 species